rnacentral:sRNA from 1 species
UCAAAUGGAAGAAGCUGGUAUUUGGGAGC